GACGAACGCUGGCGGCGCGCCUAACACAUGCAAGUCGAACGAGCGAGCGAGAGCUUGCUUUCUUGAGCGAGUGGCGAACGGGUGAGUAACGCGUGAGGAACCUGCCUCAAAGAGGGGGACAACAGUUGGAAACGACUGCUAAUACCGCAUAAGCCCACGGUGCCGCAUGGCACAGAGGGAAAAGGAGCACUCCGCUUUGAGAUGGCCUCGCGUCCGAUUAGCUAGUUGGGGAGGUAACGGCCCACCAAGGCGACGAUCGGUAGCCGGACUGGGAGGUUGAACGGCCACAUUGGGACUGAGACACGGCCCAGACUCCUACGGGAGGCAGCAGUGGGGAAUAUUGCACAAUGGGGGAAACCCUGAUGCAGCGACGCCGCGUGGAGGAAGAAGGUCUUCGGAUUGUAAACUCCUGUUGUUGGGGAAGAUAAUGACGGUACCCAACAAGGAAGUGACGGCUAACUACGUG
rnacentral:rRNA from 1 species